rnacentral:ncRNA from 1 species
CACGCCCCCGCGGGAGAGCCCGGAAAUCCGCCGUGGAUGGAAGUCCGCAUCGGAAGACCGGCACCGAAGGAGAAACCGCCCCGGAAACUCUCAGGUCCCGAGGACCGCGGGGGGCGA